rnacentral:SRP_RNA from 1 species
CUGUGCUAGCUGGGGAGGUAGCGGUGCCCUGAACUUGCAACCCGCUAGAGCAAGAGUGAUGCUUUGUCUGCGGCCAUAUUUUGUUUGGUCUGCCCCUAGAAAGUGGUGUUGAGAAUUCAGUCUUACGCAAUAGACACUUAUGAACCGUGUCAGGUCUUGACGGAAGCAGCACUAAGUAAGGUAGUUUAUGUGCCGUAAGGGCGCUGUAUUUGAGCUAACUACUAGGGUAACGCUUGUGGAUUAUUGUCAAAGCAAAGUGCACAG